GGCCGGUUAGCUCAGUGGGUUGAGUGCGGUGCUGGUAACGCCAAGGUUGUGGGUUCCAUUCCCACUUGGUCCC
rnacentral:tRNA from 1 species